CCUACGGGAGGCAGCAGUGGGGAAUAUUGGACAAUGGGGGGAACCCUGAUCCAGCGACGCCGCGUGAGUGAAGAAGUAUUUCGGUAUGUAAAGCUCUAUCAGCAGGGAAGAAAGAAAUGACGGUACCUGACUAAGAAGCCCCGGCUAACUACGUGCCAGCAGCCGCGGUAAUACGUAGGGGGCAAGCGUUAUCCGGAUUUACUGGGUGUAAAGGGAGCGUAGACGGCGAUGCAAGUCUGAAGUGAAAGGCGGGGGCCCAACCCCUGGACUGCUUUGGAAACUGUAUGGCUGGAGUGCAGGAGAGGUAAGUGGAAUUCCUAGUGUAGCGGUGAAAUGCGUAGAUAUCAGGAGGAACACCGGUGGCGAAGGCGGCCUGCUGGACUGCAACUGACGUUGAGGCCCGAAAGCGUGGGGAGCAAACAGGAUUAGAUACCCUGGUAGUC
rnacentral:rRNA from 1 species